UACGUAGGGGGCCAGCGUUGCUCGGAAUUACUGGGCGUAAAGGGUCCGUAGGCGGUGUAGCAAGUCGAUAGUGAAAUCUCUGGGCUUAACCCAGAGGCUGCUAACGAAACUGCUGUGCUAGAGUGUGAGAGAGGCGAGUGGAAUUACGGGUGUAGCGGUGAAAUGCGUAGAUAUCCGUAGGAACAUCCGAGGCGAAGGCGGCUCGCUGGAUCACAACUGACGCUGGAGGGACGAAAGCUAGGGGAGCAAACAGGG
rnacentral:rRNA from 1 species